rnacentral:rRNA from 1 species
UAAGACGAACCGUGCGAACGUUAUUCGGAAUCAUUGGGCUUAAAGGGCGCGUAGGCGGGUCGACACGUCGGAGUUGAAAGCCCCCGGCUCAACCGGGGAAUGGGCUCCGAUACGGCCGACCUGGAGGCGAGGAGGGGGACCUGGAACUUCCGGUGGAGCGGUGAAAUGCGUUGAGAUCGGAAGGAACGCCGAUGGCGAAAGCAAGGUCCUGGACUCGUCCUGACGCUGAGGCGCGAAAGCCAGGGGAGCGAACGGGAUUAGAUACCCCGGUAGUCCUGGCCGUAAACGAUGGGCACUGGGUGGCGGGCUCGCCGAUGGGCCCGCCGUCGCAGGGAAACCGAGAAGUGCCCCGCCUGGGGAGUAUGGUCGCAAGGCUG